GAUGAACGCUGGCGGCGUGCCUAAUACAUGCAAGUCGAGCGAACCGACGUGAAGCUUGCUUCUCUGAUGUUAGCGGCGGACGGGUGAUUAACAAGUCAUCAACCUACCUUUUAGACUGGGAUAACUCCGGGAAACCGUAGCUAAUACCGCACAAUAUUUCGAACCGCGUGGUUCAAAAGUGAUAGACGGUCUUGCUGUCACUUAUAGAUAGAUCCGCGCUGCAUUAGCUAGUUGGUAAGGUAACGGCUUACCAAGGCGACGAUGCGUAGCCGACCUGAGAGGGUGAUCGGCCACACUGGAACUGAGACACGGUCCAGACUCCUACGGGAGGCAGCAGUGGGGAAUCUUCCGCAAUGGGCGAAAGCCUGACGGAGCAACACCGCGUGAGUGAUGAAGGUCUUCGGAUCGUAAAGCUCUGUUGUUAGGAAAGAACAUAUGUGUAAUUAACUGUGGACAUCUUGACGGUACCUAAAGAAUAAGCCACGGCUAACUACGUG
rnacentral:rRNA from 1 species